GAGACAUACCAAAUUAUACAACUUCAGAUGGAUCAGUUAAGAUUCAAAAGGAUAGUGAGGUGCGGUUAAAGAUAAUUGGUACUCGAGUUGAUGCUACAGAAAUUUUCUGCAUUGGUACGAUAAAGGAUGAUUUCUUGGGUGUCAUCAAUGAUCCCGGUGCAUCAGCUUAGUGAAUCUCAAUAUUGAAAAGUUUACAUUGCAAAGGAGAAGAAUGUGUAGCUCGACAUUUUACCAUAUGGGCUGCAGUUCUAUUAUUUAUACUGGCUAUGUACUAUACAAAGGAGCAGGGUAUAUCCACAUGGGCUGCUGCUGUUGCAUUCAUUUUGUAUGAUUCUGAGUUCUUUUUAGA